ACCCCGGGAAACUGGGGCUAAUGUCCGAUAGGCGAAGAGGCCUGGAAUGGUUCUUCACCCAAAGGGCGUUGGAAUCAUGCUUUUCAACGUCGCCAGAGGAUGGGGCCGCGACCGAUCAGGCUGUUGGCGAGGCAACGGCUCACCAAACCUAUAACCGGUACGGGCCGCGGGAGCGGUAGCCCGGAGAUGGGCACUUAGACAAGGGCCCAGGCCCUACGGGGCGCAGCAGUCGCGCAACCUCUGCAAUACGCGAAAGCGUGACAGGGCUAUCCCGAGUGCCGUCCGCUGAGGAUGGCUUUUCUCUGGUGUAGUGAGCCGGAGGAAUAAGGAGAGGGCAAGUCUGGUGUCAGCCGCCGCGGUAAUACCAGCUCUCCGAGUGGUAGGGACGAUUAUUGGGCCUGAAGCGUCCGUAGCCGGCUAAGCAAGUUUCCCGUUAAAUCCAGCGAUCUAAUCGUUGACUUGCGGGAAAUACUGUUUGGCUAGGGGGCGAGAGAGGCCAACGGUAUUUCCGGGGUAGGGGUGAAAUCUUAUAAUCCCGGGAGGACCACCAGUGGCGAAGGCUGUUGGCUAGANCGCGCUCGACNGUGAGGNACGAAAGCUGGGGAGCGAACCNGAUUAGAUNNCCGGGGUAGUCCCAGCUGUAAACNAUGU
rnacentral:rRNA from 1 species